rnacentral:rRNA from 1 species
GAUCCUGGCUCAGGAUGAACGCUAGCUACAGGCUUAACACAUGCAAGUCGAGGGGCAGCAUGGUCUUAGCUUGCUAAGGCCGAUGGCGACCGGCGCACGGGUGAGUAACACGUAUCCAACCUGCCGUCUACUCUUGGACAGCCUUCUGAAAGGAAGAUUAAUACAAGAUGGCAUCAUGAGUCCGCAUGUUCACAUGAUUAAAGGUAUUCCGUGAG